rnacentral:rRNA from 1 species
UCGAAAGCCUGUCCCAGUUCGGACUGGAGUCUGCAACCCGACUCCACGAAGUUGGAUUCGCUAGUAAUCGCGCAUCAGCCAUGGCGCGGUGAAUACGUUCCCCGGGCCUUGUACACACCGCCCGUCAAGCCAUGGGAGCCGGGGGCGCCUGAAGUCCGGGACCGCGAGGACCGGCCUAGGGCGAAACUGGUAACUGGGGCUAAGUCGUAACAAGGUAUC